UACGAAGGGGGCUAGCGUUGCUCGGAAUCACUGGGCGUAAAGGGUGCGUAGGCGGGUCUUUAAGUCAGGGGUGAAAUCCUGGAGCUCAACUCCAGAACUGCCUUUGAUACUGAGGAUCUUGAGUUCGGGAGAGGUGAGUGGAACUGCGAGUGUAGAGGUGAAAUUCGUAGAUAUUCGGCGGAACACCAGUGGCGAAGGCGACUCACUGGCCCGAUACUGACGCUGAGGCGCGAAAGCGUGGGGAGCAAACAGGG
rnacentral:rRNA from 1 species